rnacentral:other from 1 species
AACACCCUGCGAUGUUCGUGGAAGCGGAUCAAUGUAAAACCAACAUUUUCUGAAAGGGAAUCCAUCUCCGGUCGGCGGCGCACAUGCCUCCCGCAAUUUUGCGGCCAGUGGACUUGUAAUGUCACCGGGACUUAUCCCACCUGCCAUGCAGGUUUUUACCUUGUCCCUUAACACGGCAUAUGUGGGGUUUAU